GAAGUGAUGGGAUCAAUAAAACUUGGAAUUGUCUAACAAGAAAGGGCCAGUUUCUUGCUUAUUAUAUUUGUAAUAACAGAGUCCAUUGGGUAGCACUCCGGUCUGUGAAAGUCAGUGAAUCAAUAAUGCUCUUGUGGUCUGGAUAAUAAUAUACCUUGGCAUGGUGUGAGUGAUGCCAGCAGGUGGGCGGAGAGGCAGGGAAGGAAAGGUCUCAUGCCUUUCAGGUUGACACUAAGAAAGAGGCUUCCAUUCCUUUCCCUGUUCUACCACAUUCUCCUAAUGUGUAUAAGAAAUUAUUCAAAGACAGCAACAGAUUUCCCUCCUGACCUUUAUAGUUGCUGGUUUGGAAUGAUUUUUGGCUGCUUGCUGGAAAAAAAAAUUAUUGCAGAGAUGAAUUGUCAGGACAUCCGCUCCCCUUCCCAUCAGCUUUAUAAACAUUUUGUACUGGAGGCAGUGUGUGUGUGCAGAAGAAACGCUAUGGAAAGUGCUGUAGAAACAAGUGUGGUUUGUUGGCUACCAAAUCUCAAGGCUAUGCUCACUGGUCAGAAUGGUUGGUGUCCAGACCCCCAGCCCCUCAGAUUCUGAGAUGUCUGUGUACCAGGGUAGCACCAGGGAUGGGUUUUCUCUGAGACUGUCUUUUCAUGAUACAGUGUAAAAUGUUUCCCAUGAAAGGGCAGAGCUGAAGAAGCAGUGCAAGUCCAUUUGAAGACCUCUGGAAGGAAACCCCCAGCGGCUCUUUUUUCACUGAACAAGCAUUGUGGGAAUUUGGGGCUCGGCUGUGUAAUUUGUCCUCUUCUCAUUCAUUCAGGACAUGUUCAGCACCAGGAGGAAUUUGCAUCCAAGUCCGUCUCCCUGCUAAGUGGUAUUUUGAGAAUUCCGAAGCUUAGUCUCAGAGAAGAGCUGACCUGAACUUGCCGAGGCUCCCACUGCAUUGUAGCUUUUCUCUGGAGAACAAAAACUGCCAUUGUCCAGCAGCUCAUUAGCAUGACUGUACAGCCUCCGGAGUUAGCAAGGUGAUGCAAAAAUAAUAUGACAAGAUCCAUGUCUUCAAUGAGCUACAAUCCUACUGGGACAUGAGACUGUGCUUAUAAUAUGAUGAAAGAAUAAGAAAAUUUUAAAGAUGAAAACACAGCAGCAACAGGUGCCAUUUUGGAAGCAAGAAGCAGAGAACAAGCUCUCACUGGGCAUUAAAUCUGCCGGCAUCUUGAUCUUGAAC
rnacentral:lncRNA from 1 species